AGUCAACGCUGGCGGCGUGCCUCAGACAUGCAAGUCGAACGAUUAAAGCUCCCUCCGGGGAGUGCAUAGAGUGGCGCACGGGUGAGUAACACGUAAGUAAUCUACCUUCGACUGGGGAAUAACGUCCGGAAACGGCCGCUAAUACCGCAACAUGCAGCGGCAUCGCAAGAUGACAGGUGUUAAAGAUUUAUCGCUUGAAGAGGAGCUUGCGGCAGAUUAGCUAGUUGGUAAGGUAAUGGCUUACCAAGGCUACGAUCUGUAACCGGUCUUAGAGGACGGUCGGUCACACUGACACUGAAUAACGGGUCAGACUCCUACGGGAGGCAGCAGUCGGGAAUUUUGGGCAAUGGGCGAAAGCCUGACCCAGCAACGCCGCGUGAAGGAUGAAGUAUUUCGGUAUGUAAACUUCGAAAGAAUGGGAAGAAUCAAUGACGGUACCAUUUAUAAGGUCCGGCUAACUACGUGCCAGCCGCCGCGGUAA
rnacentral:rRNA from 1 species